UCCAGACUCCUACGGGAGGCAGCAGUGGGGAAUAUUGCGCAAUGGGGGAAACCCUGAUGCAGCGACGCCGCGUGAGCGAAGAAGUAUUUCGGUAUGUAAAGCUCUCUCAGCAGGGAAGAAAAAUGACGGUACCUGAGUAAGAAGCACCGGCUAAAUACGUGCCAGCAGCCGCGGUAAUACGUAUGGUGCAAGCGUUAUCCGGAUUUACUGGGUGUAAAGGGAGCGCAGGCGGUGCGGCAAGUCUGAUGUGAAAGCCCGGGGCUCAACCCCGGGACUGCAUUGGAAACUACCGAACUAGAGUGUCGGAGAGGUAAGUGGAAUUCCUAGUGUAGCGGUGAAAUGCGUAGAUAUUAGGAGGAACACCAGUGGCGAAGGCGGCUUACUGGACGAUAACUGACGCUGAGGCUCGAAAGUGUGGGGAGCAACCAGGAUUAGAUACCCGAGUACC
rnacentral:rRNA from 1 species